CAGCUGGCAGUUGUCGCUCCCUGAACUUCCCCGUCCCACCACACACGGAAGUGUGGAAGAGCCCGGGCCCAGCACAGGCCCUGCCACUUAGGUGCCCCCCGUAGCCGCAGAACAGGCCGAGACGCUGGGGCAGCUGCCCGGGCUGCCGCACGCCACGUGGGAAUGCCGCCGCCUCCCCUCCCGCCAGGCAGCCUGGGUCGGACCCGGCGGAGGCCUCUGCGGCUUCACUGGGGCGGUCUCCUCUCCUCCUUGUGCCUCUGUCCAGGUGUGGGUUGCUGUGCCGGGAGAAGCGGGGCCGCCAGCAUGGCGAUGGAGAGCGGGACCCCCCUGCCCGUGGAGCUCCCCAACAAGACCCUCGUCAACAUCCACAUCCACCAGGAGUCCUCCCUGGCGUACCUGUGCCAGGCCGUGGGGCGCUACUGGGCCCGGCAGCAGGAAGCGGCUGCCAAGGACACGCAGCCGGCGGCCGCGGCCCCCACCCCCUCUGCCCGACGCUGCUGCGGGGGGGGAGCACAGCAUGCCAGGGGGGGUCCAGAUCCUGCUGGGGGUCGUGUGCAUCAGCCUUGGCGUGGUGGUCGACUAUGAGCGUGCGUUCUACGCCUACUUCUGGGCAGGAGCCCCUUACUGGAUGGGCAGCCUGUUCAUCCUGUCUGGCGUCUUCACUGUGGUGGGCAACAGACGUGGCGGCUGCUGGAUCCCCGUGGCCACCAUCCUCAACCUGGCCAGCGUCAUCGCGGCCAGCGUGGCCCUGACGUACGGCAUCGCCCGGAUUCCCAACCUGCAGCCCUUUUACGAUUACAAGGUGGAGAUGUGCAGGAGGCGGGUGGACCCGCUGAGGACCACCAGCAGCCCCGGCAGCAGCGACUACGACUGGGAGGACGAGCAGUGCAAGGAGCUGCUGUGGCACCUCCUGGCCGUGGCCUUCUCCGUGCGGGUCCUCCUGCUCAUCUUCUCCUGCAUCGCCCUCGGGGUUGCCCUCUGCUGCUUUGCCUACGGGAUCCGAGUCAUGUGCCUGAAGGCACGCGGUGGUGCCUACACCAAGCUCCAGGACCAGGAGGUGCCUCUACCCUAUGAGGACCCAGGCCGGCCCGAGGCCCUCCCCUGAGCAGGCGGCCCGUGCCCCAAGGAAGGAGAGGCCACCCCGGCCACGUCCGGCCCCGCUCCUGCCGCGAAAGCCACCUGCGCUUGCCCGUGCUCCACCUGCUGAGGCAGCCCUGCAGCCCCUCCUGGACGGAAAACACAUUGCUUGCCGGAAAACGCAUUGCUUGCCGGAAAACGCUUUGCUGCCCAAUAAAGGUUCUGUGGUUGCCCUGCCGGCUCACGAGGU
rnacentral:lncRNA from 1 species